rfam:Glycine max cultivar Williams 82 chromosome 19, whole genome shotgun sequence.
AGUCAUCGCAAUGAGGAUACAAAAGCUCCCUCUUCUGAUUUAGAGUUGAGGAAAAUUGCUGGCAGAAUCGAACCAUAAAAUCUUAGUCAUCACUGAGUGA